rnacentral:tRNA from 1 species
GUAGACAUAGUUUUAAGUAAAACACUAGAUUGUGAUUCUAGAGAUAGAGGUUAAAGCCCUCUUGUCCACC